rnacentral:lncRNA from 1 species
GAUUUCAGGUCUACAAUGGUUUUCCCUAUUACGAAACCUAUCCGACCCAACCUUCCACAGUCCAAUUUACAUCAAUUAAUCGUCCUCAUUGUCAACACAAUUCAUAUCUUAUUUGAUUACACCAAACCUAACACGUUUACAUCAAAUUCCUACGAAUUCCCUCUCAAUUCUUCCCCAAUUUCAUUCAUCCCAAAAGUUCACAAUUUCAUCCUAAUCAUCCAAUUCAGAGGUAAU